rnacentral:tRNA from 1 species
GCGUUCUUAGCUCAGCUGGAUAGAGCAUCGGCCUUCUAAGCCGAGGGUCGCAGGUUCGAGUCCUGCAGGGCGUGCCA